rnacentral:rRNA from 1 species
GACGAACGCUGGCGGCGUGCUUAACACAUGCAAGUCGAACGGAAAGGCCUCUUUCUUGUGGUACUCUCGUGUCGAACGGGUGUGUAUCACGUGUGUAUCCUGCCCUUUUCUUUUUGUUAUCUUCUGGAAACUCUGGCUAUUACCGCCUAGGAGCUCCUCCUGCAUGUUGGGGGUUUGAAAGUUUCUGCGGUUGGGGAUGUACUCGCGCCUGAUCAGCUUGUUGGUGGGGUAGUGGCUUACCAAGGGUUUGUCGGGUAUCCGGGCUGUGAGGGUGACCGGCCACAUAGGGACUGAGAGACGGGCCAGACGCCUACGGGGGGCAGAAGGGGGGAAUAUUGCAAAAAGGGUGGAAGCCUGAUGCAGAAACGCCGGGGGCGGGAAGACGGGCUUCGGGUUGGAAAACGAGUUCGCUCAUGAAGAAGCGGUGUGUGACGGUAGUGGGUAAAGAAGCACCGGCUAACUACGUG